GAUGAACGCUGGCGGCGUGCCUAAUACAUGCAAGUCGAGCGAACGGACGAGAAGCUUGCUUCUCUGAUGUUAGCGGCGGACGGGUGAGUAACACGUGGAUAACCUACCUAUAAGACUGGGAUAACUUCGGGAAACCGUAGCUAAUACCGGAUAAUAUUUUGAACCGCAUGGUUCAAAAGUGAAAGACGGUCUUGCUGUCACUUAUAGAUGGAUCCGCGCUGCAUUAGCUAGUUGGUAAGGUAACGGCUUACCAAGGCAACGAUGCAUAGCCGACCUGAGAGGGUGAUCGGCCACACUGGAACUGAGACACGGUCCAGACUCCUACGGGAGGCAGCAGUAGGGAAUCUUCCGCAGUGGGCGAAAGCCUGACGGAGCAACGCCGCGUGAGUGAUGAAGGUCUUCGGAUCGUAAAACUCUGUUAUUAGGGAAGAACAUAUGUGUAAGUAACUGUGCACAUCUUGACGGUACCUAAUCAGAAAGCCACGGCUAACUACGA
rnacentral:rRNA from 1 species